rnacentral:rRNA from 1 species
CUUCUUGUYAGUACUUAUUAAGGAAUUAAUUUAUUUGNURUAGUGAACUAGYRCUGUAAAGGAAAAUAGAUGAAAUAUUAUUGAAAAAUUAUUUUUUGUUAAGUAUAUUUUAUUUAUAGACCUUUUGUAUCAGGGUUUAUCUAAAAUUGUAAUUUAUAUUUAUUUCCCGAUUUUAAAAGAGCUAAAUUCUUAUUUUAUUUAAUGUGGUAUAAUUAUUAAUAAUAAUAAUUUAGAUGAGAAAUUUUAAUCGUUUUUAAAGGUAUCUGGUUUUUUAAGAAUUAAAUUUAAUUUAAUUUCAUUAUUUAUAAUUAUAAUUUGUUAUUUAUUAUUUAUUGAAUUAAAUAUUGUAGGGGAUAAGCUCUACAUUUAUUUAUAAUUUCUUAAUUAAUUAAUUUUUGUAGGUUUAAGAAUAUCCAUCAUUAAUGAUUUUGUUAUAAUUUAUAUUUCCUGAUUAAUUAAUUUUGUUGAGUUUAGUAUAAUAUUAAGAUUUUAUGAUUAACAUUAUAUCAUAAGGAAUAAUGAUUAAAUUAGUAUAAUAUAUUGUUUAUUAAUUUUUUAAUUUAAUAAUAAAAUAAGGAAUUCGGCAAUAAUAAUUUCCGCCUGUUUAACAAAAACAUGUCCUUUAGAAUUUAAUUGAAGGUCUGACCUGCCCAGUGAGUAUUUUAACGGCCGCGGUAUAUUGACCGUGCAAAGGUAGCAUAAUCAUUAGUCUUUUAAUAGGAGGCUUGUAUGAAAGGUUUGACGAGAAAUUGACUGUCUCAUUUUAUUUGUUUUAAAAUUUAAUUUUUUAGUUAAAAAGCUAAAAUGAUGUUGGAAGACGAGAAGACCCUAUAGAUCUUUAUAUAUUUUUUUAUAAAUAAAUUUAGAUGAAUAAUUUUAUAAAAUUUUAUAUUUUGUUGGGGUGACAAAAAUAUAUGAAAAACUUUUUUAUUUAUUAUACAUUGAUAUAUGAUUAUUAGAUCCUUUAUUAUUGAUUAUUAGAAUAAGUUACCUUAGGGAUAACAGCGUAAUCCUCCCUCAGAGUUCAUAUUUACGGGAUGGGCUUGCGACCUCGAUGUUGGAUUAAGAUAAUAAUUAGGUGUAGCUGCUUAAUUGAUAGGUCUGUUCGACCUUUAAAUUCUUACAU